GGGGCGGGCGCUAGGAGCUAGACAUAGGAGACGACCAAUGUAUGAAUAGCUAAAUUUUGUACGAGUGGGACUGUGUGGGCAGCUGCCCACGCUUGCCCCUCAAACCUCCAUUGAGAAAACCUCAACCGAAGGGAAAUUACAAGCCAAUGGCUUCACUACUAGAAAGCAGCACUUCUUGCAUCUGUUUCAGAAAACAGCUCCGACCAUCAGAUUCAACACAAAUAGCGACAAUGAUAAGAGGAUGAAGGAUGCAUACUUUGGAGAAGUUUUUGUCAGCAGCAGCCCCCAUGACAAGCUCCCCAAUCUCAUGUUGAGCAACUAAUUCCAACUGUUCCUUUCCCGACGUCCUCCGAUUCAAUAACGAGACGUUCUGCUUCUACCUGCAACACCAACAGAAGGACUUGGUGACAGGGAGAAGAAGAUUGAGAUUGGUCUGGCUUCUGACGGGCUAUAUCGUUUACCUAUACGUGUGAAAGAGAAGAGAAGAUAAGGUAUUGGAGUGAAGGCGCCACUAUCCAACAACAUGAUAUAGCGAUACCAUAGUUGCCCAGAACAGAAUAAGAACAACAGUCUUCUUCAAUCUUCUUCACAUUCUGUCAUGCCAUUGACGGAUUGCAGACCUAAGAGCAAGAUUUGGUGUGAGGUUGGAAUGGCUGAGCGGCAGAUUGGUGAUGGGAGAAGUACUAUGCCCACUAUUCAGCCAUUCUGUACCCACAUGCUUCUUUGGAUCAUGAACCUUUUUCACUACAUGGAAUCUCAGUAGAAUCUACUGAUGUGUUGGUUGAUACAAAUCUUGGAACAAAUAUACAGUUACUUCCAUCAGCUGAAACACUAGAUGUAGGACUUGUACACAUACCACAUGAUGCUGUGGAUACAUCUGAUAAGACAUCUCCAGUUCAAAUAGCAAAUGCUCAACCAAUUGAAGAUACUCUUAGUGGAAUGCGUGAGGAUCUGAAGAGAUCAGAUGUCAAGAUCUUAGAUGACCCUUUGUCUGGACCACCAGUGGAUGAAAAGAACUCCAAGUUAGAUGGACUUUUUCCUUUGGUUAACGAUGAAGAGAAUGUCUGCCCUAUUUGUCUUGAAGAAUAUGACAAGGAGAAUCCGAAAGUAGUAUCCAAUUGUGGGCACCAUUUUCAUCUUUCAUGCAUUCUGGAAUGGAUGGAAAGGAGUGAUAGCUGUGCAGUGUGCAAUCAGGCCAUGAUAUUCAAUGAAGAAGACUACUUCUAGCAGUUCUUAUUAGUAGAGUAAGAAGAAGAAAGGCCGAUAUUUCAGCUGGAGGUACAUACAUGAUGGUGCCUGUGAUUCUGAUUCUUCCUGAGGUUUUUCUUUUGAGCUUGAAAGGGGCUUCUAGUUUUGCUGGUAGUAGUAGUAUGUCUUCAUUCUCAAGGCAAAGUUACAUUCAGCCUAUCAUCUAUAGAGUAGUUUUCCCUCGUAGCCUCCUUUGUCUGUUGCUGCUCAGAACGGCGGCUUGCUCACCUGCUGAUGAAAGCAGAACACAUUCAGAGUUGGUUGCUGGAAGCUGAGAUUGUGUAUGCAUCAUUUGUUUAAUCUUUCUUUCUGUUAGUCUCUCUGUAUAGCUGUUUGUGAACAGAAUCAUCAUUCUACGGCAUUAGUUUUGUAGAUUGUUCAGUUUUGUUGCCAUUCCAUUGCUGUAGAGAA